UACGUAGGCAGCGAGCGUUGUUCGGAGUUACUGGGCGUAAAGGGCGCGCAGGCGGUCUGGUAAGUUUGGAGUGACAGUGCUCGGCUUAACUGAGCAAGGCCUUCGAAAACUGCUAGACUUGAGCACUCAAGAGGGACAUAGAAUUCCGGGUGGAGUGGUGAAAUGCGUAGAUAUCCGGAGGAAUACCAAAGGCGAAGGCAGUGUCCUGGGGAGUGUCUGACGCUCAGGCGCGAAAGCUAGGGGAGCGAACAGG
rnacentral:rRNA from 1 species